rnacentral:lncRNA from 1 species
UAAAUUCCCAGAAGCAGAAUUGCUGGGUGAUGGGUAAUUUACAUUGUCACCCACAGUGACAGUGCCCUUGGAUCAGGUGAAAAGUUUUAAUUAAACAUCACACAGAAUUCUAUAAUCUUGUCUCAGUAGUGUCAUCACCACUCAAAACAUUUAGUGAACUCUGUGUUUGGUGAUCCAGGCUAUGACUCACACAAGAAAAUAAAUCUUAAUCUCUCAUCUUGCCUUUGAUCUUGGACUAUUCAGGAAAAUCUAAUUCAUCACAAAAAAAAACACCAAGAAAGUAACCCUGGAGCAUACUCGUGUACAUGUGCCGCCAGAGUCAGGAGCCCUGUGUGGAUGCUCUUCAUCUUUUGGCCCAUCUCCUUUCUCCAGCUGCUGCCAUGGUAGCCAGCUUUGUACACAUGCGACCCGGAAAUUCUCACGUAGCUGCACGGAGAAUUGUUCACAUGUCCCUGACUCUGCAGUGUGGACACAUUGGUCUCCUGGUUGCCUUCUGGGCAUGCAAGGGACUGACCAUCAGUGGGGCAGCCUCUGGUAAGUGGGGAUGGGAACUGGAGGGUGAAGAGCCCCCUUCCUGUCUGUCAGCUGGGUGAUUCUCAGGUCCUUCCACACGACUCCUCAGAAGUCCCCACAGGACUGUGCCUCAGGUGUCCGCAGCGGUGCUCGGCUGAUAGCCCACCUCCAUCCUUGGGCUGGUCUUCCCUCCUUGUCUGUUCCCCGCCCCCAGUCCCUCACCCUCAUUUCCUGGGAUCAUUUCCCCAAAUACACGGCAUCGAAGCCUCUUCUAAUGCUUCACUUGUUGGCAGGAAUGACAGUCCCGUUCUAUUUUCUGAUCAUGUUCCUUGCUCUUGUCUCUUCAUUUCUUUAAUAUUCAUUCACAGGGAACAUCUAGAAUAUUCCUUGUCGAGAGAAGGGCCCCCAAUACAAAAAGGAAUCAGGCCCAGGCUUGCUCCUGAGGUGACAGAAUAACUGGUCUGGCUUGGGGCAUCUGAGGUUUUCUCCAGAAUGUCUUUUUAAGGAAGGAAUUUGCUGGGAGACAGUGGUGGAAGACGUUCUGUUUUGUUUUUGUAUACAAAGAUGGCUGAGGGAGUGGUGCAGGCAGAGAAGUAGGGUGGUGAACUUGGUCUGUUUGGGGACUGGAAAGUUGAGGGAGACUGGAAUGUGCACAUGCCCACAAGGUCAGGGAGGGCCCUGAGUGGCUCCUUACAUGUUGCUUUCCCGGUCUGGCCUUCUGUUCUAGGUGGCCCUUGCUGGGCUGUGGCUGCUGACCAGGUGUGGGUGCUGGCUGGCAUGGCCUUGGCACAUGCCUCAGUCUGAGUCUCUCAGUACAGGAGCUCUGGGCAGCUGAGUCUCGCCUCACCCAGGCCAUCCUGCCCCACAGCCAAUCUCUGGAACAGCUGGCAGGCCCAGGAGGGUAUGUCCUACACCCUACUUGAUCGCCCCAGA